ensembl:misc_RNA Y_RNA Y RNA
GGCUGGUCUAAGUGCAGCAGUAUUGCAACUAGUUGAUCACAACCAGUUAACAGAUUUUGUUUUCCUUCUCCCCUUCCACUGCUUCACUUAGCCUUUA